rnacentral:rRNA from 1 species
AACGAACGCUGGCGGCAGGCUUAACACAUGCAAGUCGAACGCCCCGCAAGGGGAGUGGCAGACGGGUGAGUAACGCGUGGGAACAUACCCUUUUCUACGGAAUAGCUCUGGGAAACUGGAAUUAAUACCGUAUACGCCCUACGGGGGAAAGAUUUAUCGGGGAAGGAUUGGCCCGCGUUGGAUUAGCUAGUUGGUGGGGUAAAGGCCUACCAAGGCGACGAUCCAUAGCUGGUCUGAGAGGAUGAUCAGCCACAUUGGGACUGAGACACGGCCCAAACUCCUACGGGAGGCAGCAGUGGGGAAUAUUGGACAAUGGGCGCAAGCCUGAUCCAGCCAUGCCGCGUGAGUGAUGAAGGCCUUAGGGUUGUAAAGCUCUUUCACCGAUGAAGAUAAUGACGGUAGUCGGAGAAGAAGCCCCGGCUAACUUCGUGCCAGCAGCCGCCGUAAAAC